rnacentral:rRNA from 1 species
AUUGAACGCUGGCGGCAGGCCUAACACAUGCCAGUCGAACGGUAACAGGAAACAGCUUGCUGUUUCGCUGACGAGUGGCGGACGGGUGAGUAAUGUCUGGGAAACUGCCUGAUGGAGGGGGAUAACUACUGGAAACGGUAGCUAAUACCGCAUAACGUCGCAAGACCAAAGAGGGGGACCCCCGGGCCUCUUGCCAUCGGAUGUGCCCAGAUGGGAUUAGCUUGUUGGUGGGGUAACGGCUCACCAAGGCGACGAUCCCUAGCUGGUCUGAGAGGAUGACCAGCCACACUGGAACUGAGACACGGUCCAGACUCCUACGGGAGGCAGCAGUGGGGAAUAUUGCACAAUGGGCGCAAGCCUGAUGCAGCCAUGCCGCGUGUAUGAAGAAGGCCUUCGGGUUGUAAAGUACUUUCAGCGGGGAGGAAGGGAGUAAAGUUAAUACCUUUGCUCAUUGACGUUACCCGCAGAAGAAGCACCGGCUAACUCCGUG